AUAUCAAUAAGCGGAGGAAAAGAAACUAACAAGGAUUCCCCUAGUAACGGCGAGUGAAGCGGGAUGAGCUCAAAUUUAAAAUCUGGUAGCCUUUGGUUGCCCGAGUUGUAAUCUAGAGAAGCGUUUUCCGUGCUGGACUGUGUACAAGUUUCCUGGAUACGGAACAUCAUAGAGGGUGAGAAUCCCGUCCUUGACACAGACUCCCAGUGCUUUGUGAUGCGCUCUCAACGAGUCGAGUUGUUUGGGAUUGCAGCUCAAAAUGGGAGGUAAAUUCCUUCUAAAGCUAAAUAUUGGCGAGAGACCGAUAGCGAACAAGUACCGUGAGGGAAGGAUGAAAAGAACUUUGAAAAGAGAGUUAAACAGUACGUGAAAUUGUUGAAAGGGAAACGUUUGAAAUCAGUCAUUUCUUCUGGAAAUCAGCCUUGCUUUUGCAUGGUGUAUUUUCCAGUGGAAAGGUUAACGUCAAUUUUGGUUGUCGGAUAAAAGCCUUUGGAAUGUGGCUCUCUUCGGGGAGUGUUAUAGCCAAGGUCAAUACGAUGACUGGGAUUGAGGAUUCGCCGCCAAUGCUCUCUGGGCAGUGGCAUCAUGCGCUCAGGUUA
rnacentral:rRNA from 1 species